AGGCCUUGACAUACUAAGAACUUUCCAGAGAUGGAUGGUGCCUUCGGGAACUUAGAUACAGGUGCUGCAUGGCUGUCGUCAGCUCGUGUCGUGAGAUGUUGGGUUAAGUCCGCAACGAGCGCAACCCUUUUCCUUAUUUGCCAGCGGGUAAUGCCGGGAACUUUAAGGAUACUGCCAGUGACAAACUGGAGGAAGGCGGGGACGACGUCAAGUCAUCAUGGCCCUUACGGCCAGGGCUACACACGUGCUACAAUGGUCGGUACAAAGGGUUGCUACCUCGCGAGAGGAUGCUAAUCUCAAAAAGCCGAUCGUAGUCCGGAUCGCAGUCUGCAACUCGACUGCGUGAAGUCGGAAUCGCUAGUAAUCGCGGAUCAGAAUGCCGCGGUGAAUACGUUCCCGGGCCUUGUACACACCGCCCGUCACACCAUGGGAGUUUGUUGCACCAGAAGUAGGUAGUCUAACCGCAAGGAGGACGCUUACCACGGUGUGGCCGAUGACUGGGGUGAAGUCGUAACAAGGUAAGCGUAGAUGA
rnacentral:rRNA from 1 species